rnacentral:tRNA from 1 species
ACCCUGGUGGCUCAGAGGUUAAAGCAUCUGCCUGCAAUGCAGGAUAUCUGAGUUUGAUCCCUGGGUG